rnacentral:rRNA from 1 species
GAGGCUGCAGUGGGGAAUAUUGCACAAUGGGGGAAACCCUGAUGCAGCGACGCCGCGUGAGUGAAGAAGUAUUUCGGUAUGUAAAGCUCUAUCAGCAGGAACGAGACAAGACGGUACCUGACUAAGAAGCCCCGGCUAACUACGUGCCAGCAGCCGCGGUAAUACGUAGGGGGCAAGCGUUAUCCGGAAUCACUGGGUGUAAAGGGAGCGUAGACGGCUGAGCAAGCCUGAAGUGAAAGGCGGGGGCCCAACCCCCGGACUGCUUUGGGAACUGUACGGCUGGAGUGCAGGAGAGGUAAGUGGAAUUCCUAGUGUAGCGGUGAAAUGCGUAGAUAUUAGGAGGAACACCAGUGGCGAAGGCGGCUUACUGGACUGUAACUGACGUUGAGGCUCGAAAGCG